GCCGCGGUAAUACGUAGGGUCCGAGCGUUGUCCGGAAUUACUGGGCGUAAAGAGCUCGUAGGUGGUUUGUCGCGUUGUUCGUGAAAACUCACAGCUUAACUGUGGGCGUGCGGGCGAUACGGGCAGACUUGAGUACUGCAGGGGAGACUGGAAUUCCUGGUGUAGCGGUGGAAUGCGCAGAUAUCAGGAGGAACACCGGUGGCGAAGGCGGGUCUCUGGGCAGUAACUGACGCUGAGGAGCGAAAGCGUGGGGAGCGAACAGGAUUAGAUACCCUGGUAGUCCACGCCGUAAACGGUGGGUACUAGGUGUGGGUUUCCUUCCUUGGGAUCCGUGCCGUASUAACGCAUUAAGUACCCCGCCUGGGGAGUACGGCMAAAAGGCUAAAACUCAAAGAAAUUGACGGGGGCCCGCACAAGCGGCGGAGCAUGUGGAUUAAUUCGAUGCAACGCGAAGAACCUUACCUGGGUUUGACAUGCACAGGACGACUGCAGAGAUGUGGUUUCCCUU
rnacentral:rRNA from 1 species